CACCUGAGUAAAGCAUGAAGCAGCCUCCCAAAUUGACACGCUCUGCGGUGGUUUGACCAGAGAGAGGGAAUGGUCUUGUACUCUCAUGUCUUGUGGUGGAAUAGAGGGCAGCUAGCAGGUCUGUGGUCCCCUGCGGCCUGGUGCUGCGUGCCAGCCCUGCUGCUGCAUUCCUGGAAGGAGAGGCUUCUCUUCUCUGAUGAGAAGCACAGCCAUGCCACUUGCUGUGGCGGCAAAGCCCAAGAGCAUGACUAACUGGUAACAUAAAGAACCACCUUCCAUGCAGCCUGAUUCACCCGAUCCUUGCACAGACUCACUCUUUCCAUCAAGGAAUACUUGAUAAUGCAGCGCACACUGCUGAGAUCACCCUUCUGGCAAAUGCCUGCUGUGGUAUGAGACCCAGUCAUCUGGCAGCACAUUGCUUACUGCAGUCUCCACGGCAACCCUCCAUGCUGUUCUUCUUUGGAAGCUCUGCGCAUUUGUAAAGAAGCUGUCAUCCCUUUUACUGUAAGUGCAGCAGAUGUGAAAGAUUUUACCUGUGCCAAUGAACCCCAGAGCAGGACGUGGUUGCUCUGAGGAGCAGUGCUGCAGUAGGCGUAAUGCUUCUCUCUGAAGGGCACUCACUGUCCACUCAUGGUGUUACAAAAUGCCUCCUGCUUUGUGCUCUGAACAUUUGGAUGUGUCUGUAGCCCACAGUGUUGGCACAAAGAGCCUGGGCUGCCCCGAGGAUCACAGAGGAGCUCUUCUGAGGCAUUGGCCUUGCAGUGCUGACAUCUGCCACAGAAAGAACUCAUUUCAGAAGGCUGAUCCCAAGGUGGGUUUACUUGUCCUGCACUGACUAAAAUGUGAACGGUUCUGGUACAGGAACAACUGAACUGCAGCUUGGACCCUCGUGUUCCAUAGAGGAACAAGCCUGAGCAAAGGCUGCCAAUUGUAUUGAUCAGGAGGAACAGCCAUCUUCUCUGUUGUGGAUGCUGAACCUGACAGUUCAGAGGGGCAGCUGUCUGCCUCCAGCGUCCCAUCAGAAGCCCUCUGGGGUGUUCUGAGAGGCUAUAAAUCAAACAGGGUGGAUAUCUUCUGUGAUAGGUAAGCCUGAUACAUGCUCAGUGCUAGUAGAUUGCACUGAUUAAGCUGAUUUCUAUGCUGGCCACUGCUAAAACUCAGUCUGGAACUGAAAGCUUCAGGUUUGUGUUCUGUCUCUUCUCAUGUUUGUUUUUCUGAUCUAAUGGUCAUGCAGAAAUCAAGGACUAGUGUUUUCUUCUUGAUAAGGUUAUUGCAGUUCUUUGAGCGUGAGCAAGGCAGGGGAAAACUCCAUGCUCUUCAUGUGGAAGGAACCAUAUCUACCAAGGGAGGCAGGGAGGUAAUGUGUAGACCUGGACCAGAAGAAUUGGUCCAGCUUCAAAAUGGGCAUCUGACUUUAUUUCUAUUUUUUUUUCUAGGGUCAUCAAUAUACAGCAAGAGACUCUUCUCUCUUUUGGAGGAUGCCCAAACCACCAUCUCAGAAGAGUGGCUGAACCAUAUAACAGCUGAAGUUAAAACAGGGUGACUGCAGGACCUGCCUUUGCCAAAGCAUCUCAUGUUCCCUUUGGGUGACAGUGAGCUCUUUAUUUAUAAAACUGCUGUCAUUUUUAUUUCCCACUGUGAGCUCUGAGAGGGAUAGCGUUAGAUGAGGUGCGAGCUGUGCUUUGCUGUGCAGGAGGUUUGCUUGUCUGCUCUGCGUCGAGCAGCAGCUGCUGGGAAGCCCUCCCACAGAGCUUUCAGCCCUUGCCUUUCUGUCAGUCUGCUUCCAAACCUGGGCAGCCCUGCCGCUCAGCUCACCUCUGUCCCUGCUUUGCUGUCUCAGCCCUGGAUUUCUCCCGAGAUGCCUGCCAACUGUGCCAGACAGCUGGGACGCGCGUGUUCAAUCAGGCGCUUUCCAUGAACUCUGUAGCUGCUGCCAUAUCUGUCAGCGGUGUCACUUGACAUUCCCCAAAGGCCGGAGGGGAUAAAAGGUAUCUCCCUCUUGCUGUAACACUUGUGCUUCAGGAGGUGAGAACUAUUCUGCCCAGUGCACCCAAGAUCUGAGGAACCUGCGCUUCCAGGCUGAGGAGCCGCAGUCCAGGAGCAUCAGCGAGGUUGGAGCUGCUGAUUGCAGAAACUGAGGAGGACCGAGGUGUUUGGAAAGCACAGUGAGCCUACAGCCAGCCUAAGCAAGCUGGAGAAUGCGUGUUGGGGAAACAAACCAAGGAGCAGGCAGUGGCAUGUGAAGCGAGUCCCCCUGCUGGCACAGGAGUGAUUGCAGAGCAAUAAUACAAAUCAUAAUACAAGUAUGUGUAGAGGUAAUGAGGGCUCUCCCAGUGAAGUCUGCUGCUGUCUAGAUCCUCCUAGUACACUUCCAUCACUGUCUAGAGCUCAGUAAACUCCCAGUGACCUGCAGGACUGUCUAGAGACACCAAGUGCACUGCCAGUGCCCAUGGUGCUGUCUGGAGACCCCCAGUGCCUCCUGGGCACUUCUAGACAACACUGGAGGGCACUGGGAAUAAUAGGAGUAUUUAGGGGGAGCUGGGGGGAAGGUGGUUUUGGAACUGUGGUAGGAGGCUCUGGACAAUACUGAGGACACAUUUGGAAAGUACUGGGAGACCAUGGGCUGCACAGGGAGUUUAUUGAGAGGCUCUGGGUGUAUGCUGGGAGCCUCUAAGCAGCACUGGUGGGCACUGAGCACGAUCCUUGGUGUUUGCUGUUCAAGGUCUGCAUGACUUCCUGAGAAAGUCUGUACAUACGGAGCUCUAAACAGUACUGGGAAGCACUGGGGGAAACUGAAGGAUUCUAGGCAGUGUGGGGGGGUUCCUGGGGCCUUAGGAAGUGCUGGGGAGCACUGGAAGAGACGUGUGUGGUGAUUUGAAGGCCUCAGAUAACCUGUUGUUUUAUUGGCUCUUUUUUUGUUGUCUCCACUUAGGCAACGUGAGGUUUGCUGUUUCCACCUGCCCUUGCAGGAGCGAAUUAGGGUAUUCUGUGCCUGCCCUUUCCUCCCUUUGAGAUGUCUCCAUCCCACUGGCUUUGCUGUGCGUGUGACAAAAAGAAAGAGAGGUCUCCUCUUUAACCUUGCCAGGCUGAGUUGCAAGAGGGAGUAAACACCUGGGAUAGUAGAUGUAAGGAAUUGCACAGUCAUACACAGUGAGAUAGGGUAUGCAUGGUGGGAUGCAAAGAGCAUUUCUGUACAGCCUGCCCUCUGAUGUGAAAGGCUGAUGCCUUGCAGGGUGUCUCUGAGCAGAACUGAGCCUUACUGCCUUCUUGAGAGAAAACACAGAGGACAAGAGAGUAGGAGAAAGUGUUUCGUGUGCCCUAGGUCAAAUCCUCUUUGAGCCCAAGAGGCCUUUCAAGCACUCGAAACUGCUCUUCAUGUAAAACUGCCUGGAAUAGCAUACUGCAUCCACGAGGGAAAGGAUACGGAGCAGAAUGCUCCGUGCACUUCAGGGCACAGGGGCAGACCUGGUCCUCUCAUUGUGCAUGUCCAUGGAAGCAGCCAGGCUGUGUAAAUAGGUUUUCCAAACAGUUGUGUGGGGUGUUUUCCUUUGAUUCAUCAGCUGUAAUUCCUCGCUAAGACCUGGCAUGCUUUCCUGGUGGCUUGCCUUCCACAUGUCAUCUGUUCCCUUUGGGCCUGGCUGCUCGAGGUGCUGACCUCCAGGCAGCCUUGCCUGGGUUCACUUCCGCAGGAUGCAGCCCUUCCUUGACCCCACCUCAUCCCCAUAGGUAUUCAAAUGGCUCCAGCAGCAUGAAAUCCUCUUGGUUCCCUGACCCUGUUGUUUGUGUUGGCUUCCUGGGGUGAGAGGUUGCCCCGUGAUUGCGUUUGGGUCCCCAGUCUCUUUACUUUUCUCACAGUUUCUAAGACAACCAGUGCAAUGAGAUGCAAAUAUCGGCCCCUCUUAGGCUGUGUGCCUCGGGACAAGGCUGGCUGCUUCACCUCUGAGCUCCUGGCUCGUCCAAACGCUUUGUGUUUCCAUUCCUCAGUGUGACUGUUCAAUUCCCAUCCCCACAGCAGCAGUAUUUCACCCCUACCAGCUUUGAGUACAACCUAGAGCUGGGCUUACACAGCUUCUGACUCGUACUGGAUGAUGCGAGUUAUGUCACAUCUGCUGCCUGAGCUGCUGGGUUGUGGUAGGUGUAAGCGCUGGGCUAUGCCAUGCAGAGGAUGACAAGUGUAAGCUCAUUCUUCCUUCCAAAUAGUACCUAAAUCCCACAGAAUCAGACACACAGUGCAUUGAAAUGAAACACCGUUUGGGUUCCAGCAGCUUGUUUCUGUUAGCAUGGAGCAGCAGGAGGACUGAUUCCUCUGACACCCUGCCACUUGGAGGCAACCAUCUGAACAACUGCAGAGGGAAGAUGGCUUGGAGCCUCCUGGUGAACUGGGAGAAACAUCAAGUGGGCUGCUGGGGGCAACUCCUCGAGUUGGACCUUCAGCCUGAGAGAGGAGACUGUCCAGGCCCCUUCUCCCUGCAGAGUACCUCGCUUAGCACCUUGCAGGCAAGGCUGGCUGCCAUGGGCUGCUUAGCUCUCUUCUCCAUCUAGCACUGCCUACGCUUGUUUCCCUUCCCUGCCUGCUUCUUCCUUUUCUCUGCACUUGUUCCCCUUGGCUCCCUCCCCUUUGGCCUUUGGAUUUCUCUGGUCCUCCUCCUGGUGAUGCUCCGGGAGACUUUGUGCCUUGGCUGAGAGAGACAUCUAGUGGGGUCUGAGCUCCAGGGCACAGCUUGGUUUAGUCCUUGCUUUUUUUAUUCUUUCUUCAUGAAGAAUUUUCUUUCUUCGUGAAGAAAUGGCUUCUGUAGGAGCAGGACCUGAGCUCUGAGCAGUCCUGCAUUGUCUGCUUUGGGGCACAGAGGGCAACUGGUAGGCCAGCUUAUUGCAUGACUUGAUUUUCAUUUUUUUCUGAUGCCGUGGGAGUCUUGGCUGGGAUUUCCUUGGUUCCUGUGACACAGCUUUUAGUUCUGCACGGACCUGUUUGUUUUGGGUGCAUCCAGGUCUCUGAACCCCCCCCCUCCCCCCAGUUCCAUGUUUACCAGUUUCCCCAGGACAGGGCUGAGCUCUCAUUGCAGGCCUUGUCUCUUGCUGAAAUCCUGCUCUUGGCACUCCUCCUUGGCUUGCUUUAAUGGGCUGCAAGAAGCCAGCAAUAAGCAGCAGGGAAGAAAGCACGUGAGGGGAAAGAUUGCUAUGCUCUCAUGUGAGGCUGCAGGGAAUGGAGGGGGGGAGGGUGGUAUUUAAGGAAUAAAUUGUCUGUCUCAUCCCUGGAGUCCCGAGCCUGUAGGUCUCCAGUCCUGAUGAAGGCUUCCAAGCUUGAUGGAGCUAAGAAGGAGUUGCAGCACUGUGUUGGCAGGCAGCAGGAGAUGUGAGCACAAAAGCUGGGUGAGGAGGGAAGCAAAGCAGUAAUCGUACUGCUCUAAAGCAUAAUUCAGGGCAGAUGAUGCUUAGUGCAGAGCCUAUCUUGGUGAUAGCUGGGAACAAGCACUCACUUGUGCAGCCUCGAGAGAGGGUAGAAACCCCUUGGAAGAAUAGCGGUGGGACUGGCAUUGCAGCACUGCAAGCUGCUUGACCUGUCCAUGCAUCCUCCUGGCUGAGGCGCGGCUGGGAGGCCUCCAUGUCUCUGAUGCUCAGCAGUUGCUUGUUUGAGUGCUGCUGAUCUAGAAGGCUUCGAUCUACUCUGCAGAGGGAAGGCUGUAGCAGACUGCGGCCUGGAUGGGUGCUGGCAGUGAAGCAAUCGGGAGAGGCCUCCCCUGCACUCAGGCUGGGAGCCCACCCAGCAGCGGGACUGGACGGAGGGACUGCACAGAGGGAGAAGUGAGGCACAGGCUCCCCCCGAGAGCCCUAGCAGCUGUGCUUCUGGCACACCCUGGCCAAUGCAGCACCUUGCCAGCCACGUCUGCCUCUGCAGUGCUCUGGGUCUGCUUUGCUGGACGCAGGAGGCAGCAGAGCUGAGCACACAGAGCAGUACCCGUGCCAGCCAUAGAGGAAAGCGCAGCAGCUCAGAGCUGCCCCUGUGCAUUUCCAGGUGGGAAACUGCCUCCAGCACUGCCUGUGUCAGCUCCUCUUAGUGCUGUGCUUGGAGGCUGGGCCUCUCUGCACUGGAAUGGGCUGAGCAUGGCCGAAGCAGCACAGCAGAGCCUGGUGCAGCUGCUGAGAAGGGGAGAGGUGAAGGGUUUUGGAGAACUUCCAUGUGCGAUGCUCAGCCUCCUCCUUGGACAGCUGCUCACAUGGAAAUGAGUUUGGGUUGGAGGGUUCUGAUUGCCCAGAAGCCCAUGAAGAACCACCCAGACCACGUGUUAUAAAAUAUCCCAGUUUAUUAGAGCAUUUCCACUUCACAGAGAGUCUUACAAAACAAUGUAUUUACAGACAAAGAUAGAGCUAACUAAAUUCACUGGGAGUGUGCUCUCCUAGGGCCAGGAAUGGGCUACACAGGAAAAAAAAAAUCACAUUCAGCAG